rnacentral:sRNA from 2 species
GAAUCAUUCUCGCUGAGUCUCCAGUUUUGGAGAGCGGGGGAACCAUUACAAGGCGAAGGGCCGAUAUGAGGCGAACCGCUAGUAUUUGAUUUCUUUCCAAGGGUCUUAGGGGUGAAUUUAACGGUGAGCGCCAUGAGCGUUCAGCCAGAGAUAGGGCGGCUCUCUUUCGCCCAAACCCGACAGCUAACCUCGCAAGCGUAUGAAGAGAGGCAAU